UAUAAACAGAUUUUCAGCUGCAGGGAUGUCUCAUGGGAUAUCUGAGAUUUGUCUGCAAUUAUUCAUUUUGCAGGUCUGUCCCAUGUAUUGCAAAUUGUCUGGCCUCCCUGCUUUCUGCCUGCUAAACACCAGUAAAACAUCCCAUCACUGUGACAACAAAAGAGACCUUCAGAAAAUGCCAUCUGGAAGCCAGUGUACCCUGCUGAGAGACACAGUUACACGCAAACGCAGAGUGUUUACUACAGGAAAAGAGCGAGAAGAGUGCUGAGCUCCUGUGCUGAUCAGAGUUCAAAACUCAAGCUGUCAGGUCUAAUCACGACAUCCGCCCACUGUGUGUACAAAGGAAAGGAAAUGCCACUGGGACUGCCAUUUCAGUUCACCACCACGAUACCUCCUCUCAGAAUCUGCAGAUUUAUGUAUGAUAUAGCAGAAAAAUGCAAACCGCAGCAUUCCCUGCACGUUACGGGUUUGAAGUGGAUCCUCCCUUGGGGCUCAGGAUGGCUUGCUGGAGUGCUGAGCUACUCCACACGGAAGCCCCCAUCCCUGAGCACCCGCAGAAUACCCGAAGAGCUGCAAGCCACGGGGGACUCAGGCCAGCUCUACAUCUGGUGACCCCUGGGUGUUGCUGCAAAGUCCAAGCUUUGUCCUCUCACCCCUUGGCCCUACAGGAGGGAGGAAGCAUCCUACUGGGAAGAUUCCCUCUGCACCCUCUGCACCCUGGUAUGGAGGUGACCUCGGGACAGAGCCAAGUAUUGCAGGGCGAAAGGCACCUGAAGCCAGCAGUGUGGAAUGUCUUCUCCCUUGGGAUAAAGGAUGCUCUAUCAGCUUUUUUCUCGGCCAUGAGAGUGUAACACAGAAAAUCUUUCCGAUACUUAUAAACACAUAAAGCGGACAAUCUUCAAAUGCUGAUUAAAACACCUUGGGCUUUCCUUCUCUUCCUCAGUAACUGUAUUUACAUCAGAGGAAGAAAAACGAUUCAGUAGCAUUUUAUAAAAGCC
rnacentral:lncRNA from 1 species